rnacentral:misc_RNA from 1 species
AUUUUGCCUUCUUGGCCUGCUUCAAACUCAGAUUCAUCUCUGGUAGCAUUUGUAGCAUUUGUAGCAUUUGUAGCAUUAUGCACAGCGGAAACACUAUCAGGAACUGGAGUCUCCACAAUCUUUGAUUGCAAGGUAGACUUGUGGCUGGGUUUAAGAACAUUGACCUCAUUGCUGUAACGCCCAUUAUAUCCCCCAAAUGAUACAAGAACAUCUUCACCAUUAUAGGAGCUCACAGCCAAACUCAAGCCCUCACUGGCAAGGGGAACACGCCCUUCAACGGAAGUAACAACAGACCAAACAAGUGUAGACAUGUUGAGGACAACAGUUUCAGAGGCCCCACUCUUGUUGUCACCACCACCAACAAUAAACCAAUUCUCCCC